ACAAAUACUAUCUCAUUUGAUCCUUACAACAACUCUGGCAGUGUCACAAACAAAAAUUCAGCAUAACUCUCAGCUCAGUGAGAGGCCUCCAGUUCUCGAUCCAUAUUAUUAUCGUAUAUUUCCUCCAAACUUCAUGCCCCAAGAGGACGAUUCUGAAGAUCACCUGGCAAGAUAACCUGAGGUCCUUUUUGGAGCUGAACUGACAAGCAUUCAAACUCUACUGCAGAGAGCACAACUCUGAUGGGCUGGCCACAUUGUUCAAAUGCCAAAUGUUCACUUGCCUAGAAGACUACUUUAUGGACAACUCAUACAAGGUGCUUUGCAAGUCUCCUCAGACAGUUUUGCUGACCAAGAAAUGAUGAGCAUGGACACAAGUCCCAUUAGUCAAGUAAUAGAAUUAAAAACUCUUAAGAUCAACCUUCAGGAUCUCAUGUAAGUUUCCAAAGAUUCUCUAAGCAGCAAGCCAGAAUGAAUUAUGCAGCAACCUGGGUGACAUCAUGACGAUCCAAGCUCAAAGCAGAAAGCAAAAACUUUCCACCACCAACAAAAGCUGGGCCUCACCAGUGCUCCUUCUCGCCCCAGCCACACCCAGACUGCAACCCAUAUCGAAGCACGGGAAAAGCAAGAUGAUCCUGCCUCAAUGCCUGCAAAGAGAUCCCUGAAAUACCCCUCUGUUCAGCCACUUUUCCCCCCCACCAUAUGUGUGGGGCAAGAGCUCUGGAAGCAGCUACUGCCACAGCUGCCUCCCUAGGCUGGAACUGGACCACGCUUUCUCAUCUAGGUCAGAUAGACCUUUCCUACUGACCUUCUAAGUUGUCUUUAGUGUUUGUUGUUUGAGAAAUCUGGAAACUACCACAGCUGCCUGUGAUGCAGGUCCCUGAGGCCUGCUCCAAGAUUGCUGGGGGCUCUGUCUUUGCCUGUGCUGCCAAUGCUGAACUGUACUCCUCUUCCAAGCUGGUGCAACAGACCUUUCCCCAUCAACCAUACAGGUUGU